CUGCGAGUUCGCGGGAGAGUAGGUUAUUGCCAGGGUUUUUAUUUUUAUACUUUAAACUUUGAUUUUAUUUUUAUGUUUUUUAAAUAUUGGUGUUUUUGAAUGUGUUGUUUAAAUAACAUAAAAAAUAAAAUAUAUAUUGACAUGUAUUAAACAAAGAUAUAUAUUAUUUUAUGUUGUAUAAAUAAAUUGGCAAAAUAGAGAUGGAAGAUAAAAAUAUGGUCAAAGUAAUAAGAGUCUAUGGUG
rnacentral:misc_RNA from 1 species